GGUAAUGAGUGAAGCCUUCCUUCCCGGCUUGUAGCCGGCAGCCUUCUUACUGUAUCCCGACUGGGAAGAAAGAGAGCUCUGCUAUCUCUUCUUCACCUUAUAAGGGCCCCAGCCCUAUCAGAUUAGGGCCCUAGCCUUCCAACCUCAUUUAACCUUUAUCACCACCUCCUCACAAGCCCUGUCUCCAAAGACAGGCACACCGGAGGUUUGGGCUUCCGCAUGAGUUUGAGAGACGUACAAACACUCAGUCCGUGAUAACUCUAUGCCUGAGGCUUUAGAGAAAGUCAAGCUGACCUAACAGGCAAAUUGGUAUCCAGAUAAAUUCUAUUACCUAUUUUCCCCAAUAAGUUCUUGAGAAAUAGCUGCUGCUCCCACCGUUGCAUGGUUGAUUGAGACUUACGAUUCAGGAAGGCGGUGGAUGCUUCUGUGUGGCUUCAGAAGGCAAUACUGGACCCACAAGGAGAGCUUUAGGGAGAACUAUUUCAACUCAACACAAGACAGAAGCUUCAGAGCUAGUCCUCAGGAACAUGGUGCUGAGGGAUGAAGUGAGCUUGCUCCUGUCACUGUGGGGGCGGGGUGGGGCGGUGGCAGUGGAGGCUGGACCUUUUUGUCAAGGAUGCUGUGUAGAAAAGGUCUGUUUUGACACAUAGACCAAUAGAACAGAGUAGAGAUCUCAGAUAUAAGACCACACAUCUACAACCAUCUCAUCUUUGGCAAACCUGACAAAGACAAACAAUGGGGAAAGGAUUCUCUAUUUCAUAAAUGGUGCUGGGAAAACUGGCCAGCCAUAUUCAGUAAACUGAAACUGGACCCCUUCCUUAUACCUUAUACAAAAAUUAACUCAAGAUGGAUUAAAGACUUAAAUGUAAAACCCAAAACCAUAAAAACCCUAGAAGAAAAUCCAGGCAGUACCAUUCAGGACAUAGGCAUGGGCAAAGAUUUUAUGAUGAAAUUGCCAAAAGCAAUUGCAAAAAAAGCAAAAAUUGACAAAUGGCAUCUAAUUAAACUAAAGCGCUUCUGUACAGCAAAAGAAACUAUCAUCAAGAGUGAACAGGAAACCUACAGAAUGAAAGAAAAUUUUUGCAAUCUACCCAUCUGACAAAGGUGUAAUAUCCAGAAUCUACAAGGAACUUAAACAAAUUUACAAGAAAAAACAACCCCAUCAAAAGGUGGGCCAAGGACAUGAACAGAGACUUCUCAAAAUAAAACAUUUAUGUAGCCAACAAGCAUAUGAAAAAAAGCUCAACAUCAGUGAUCAUUAGAGAAAUGCAAAUCAAAACCACAAUGAGGUACCAUCUCACGCCAGUCAGUAUGGCAACUGUUAAAAAGUCAAGAAACAACAGAUGCUGGCAAGGCUGUGGAGAAAUAGGAACGCUUUUACACUGUUGGUGGGAAUGUAAAUCAGUUCAACCAUUGUGGAAGACAGUGUGAUGAUUCCUCAAGGAUCUAGAACCAGAAAUAUCAUUUGACCCAGCAAUUCCAUUACUGGGUAUAUACCCAAAGUAAUAUAAAUCAUUCUAUUAUAAAGAUACAUGCGCACAUAUGUUUAUUGCCAUACUAUUUGUAAUAGCAAAGACAUGGAAUCAACCCAAAUGCCCAACAAUGAUAGACUGGAUAAAGAAAAUGUGGUACAUAUACCAUGAAAUACUAUGUAGCCAUAAAAAGGAAUGAGGCCAUGUCCUUUGCAGGGACAUGAAGCUGGAAGCGAUCAUUCGCAGCAAACUAACACAGGAACAGAAAACCAAACACUGCAUGUUCUCACUCAUAAGUGGGAGCUGAACAAUGAGAACACAUGGACAGAGGGAAGGGAACAACACACACCAGGGCCUGUGGGGAGUAGGGAGGGAAAACAUCAGGAUAAAUAGUUACUGCAUGCGGGGCUUCAUGCCUAGGUGAUGGGUUGGUAGGUGCGGCAAACCACCAUGGCACACGUUUACCUGUGUAACAAACCUGCACGUUCUGCACAUGUGUCCCAGAACUUAAAAUAAAAUAAAAUUUUAAAAAAGAAAGAAUGUUUCCUUGAUGAAGAUAUCUCUGCUUUUAAGAUGUAUCUGCAUUUUUAAUUACACUUCAGUACAAUUGACGUGCCAUUUAAGUAAUUAAUCUUCCACUAGAGGAAAGGAAAGGGAAGAGAAGGGAAGGGAACCAUCUAGUCUUUUACUUAUUAAUUUUUAUAUUAGUAAUUUUUAUGAUUAUGAGAAGAAUCUAUAAACCAUGUGAAGUGGAGAAAAUUUGGUUACUAGAGAAAAACAUGAAGUGGAAAAUAAAUACCACCUAUAACCCACCACACAUUUUGGCAAAUGUGUUUCCAGUCCAGUCUUUUUAUAUCAAUUAGAUAUGUACUUUUUUUAUUGAAAUAUAAUUCACAUACCACACAAUUCACUGGUUUCAAUUGUACCACUCAGUGGCUUUUACUAUAUUCACAGAGCUGUGCCACCAACCAUUGCCACAGUACAAUUUCAAACAUCUUCCCCAGCCUCUCAGAGAAACCUCCAUCCCUUUUAGCUGUCACCCUUUCAGCUGUCACCCCUUAACUUCCCUCAUCUCCUCCAUCUCCAGCCCUGGGAAACCAAGAAUCUACUUUGUGCUUGUAUGGAUUUGCCUAUUCUGGACAUUUCAUAUAAAUCGAAUCAUAUAAUAUGUGGGGGUUUUUUUGGUAACCAGCUUCUUUCACUUAGUAUAAUAUUUUCAAGGUUUAUUUGUGUUGUAACGUGAGUGCGCACCUCCUUCGUAUGGCUGAGUAAUAGUCUGGUGUUUGGGUAUAACACAAUUUUUAAUCCAUUCAUCACUUGAUAGACAUUUGGGACAUUUGGGUUGUUUGCGCUUUUUGGCUAUUAUGAAUAAUGUUACUAUGAACUUUUGGCACAAAUUUUUGCAUGGGUGUAUGUUUUCAUUUCUCUUGGUUAUAUACCUAGAAAUGGAAUAGAAUGGGCUUAUGUGGUAACUCUAUGUUUAACCUUUUGAGGAAUUGCCAGACUGUUUUCCAGAGUCUCUCCACUAUUUUACAUUUCCACCAGCAGCGUAUGAGAAUUCUGAUUUCUCCACACCCUCACCAACAAUUUUUAUUAUUUGUCUUUUUUAUGACAGCCAUCUAGUGUUAUAUAAUUUCAUUGUGGUUUUUAUUUGCAUUUCCCUGAUAGCUAAUGACUCAUCUUUUUAUGUGUUUAUUGAUCAUUGUAUAUAGUCUUAUGGAGAAAUAGCUUUCAGAUCUUUUGCCUUUAUUUAAAAAAAAAAGAGAGAACAAGUGUCUCUCUGUUGCUCAGGCUGGAGAGCAAUGGUACAAUCAUAGCUCACUGUAACCUCAAACACCUAGGCUCAAGCCAUCCUCCUACCUUAGCCUUCAGGGUAACUGGAACUAUAGGCAUGCAACAACAUUCCUGCCCAAAAAGAAAUUGAUGAGGACUCCUGGGCUUAAGCAGUUCUCCCGCCUCAGCCUCCCAAAGGGCUGGGAUUACAGGUGUGAGCCACUGCACCUAGUCUUUUGACCGUUUUCAGAUUGUGUUCAUUGUCUUUUUAGUAUUGAGUUUUAAGAGUUAUUUAUAUAUUCUAGAUACAAACCCCUUAUCAGAUAUAUGGUUUGCAAAAUUUUUCUCCCAUUCUUUUGGCUGUCUUUUAUACUUUCUUGGUGGUGUUCUUAGAAAUACAAAUAUUUUUAGUAUCAAUGAAAUCCAACUUAACUAUUUUUUCUUUUGUUGCUCAUGCUUUUGGAGUCAUAUCUAAGAAACCAUUGCCUAAUGCUAGGUCAUUAAGAUUUAUCCCAUCUUUUCUUUUAGGGGUUUUCAUAAUUUUAGCUUUACAUUUGAGUCUUUGAUCCAUUUUAAGUUAAUUUUUGUGAAUGGUGUGAGGAAUGGGAAAAUUUAUCCCAUGCCUCUCUCCUAGCUUCUGGCAGUUCUUGGCUUUUCUUAUAGAUAAAUCUUUCCAAUCUCUGCCUCUGGCUUCACAUGGCUCUCUCCUGUGUAUGUCUCUGUGUCUUCUCUUUUUCUGUCUCUUUAUCAGGAUUUAAGGCCCACUCUAAAUUCAGGAUGAUCUCAUCUCAAGAUCUUUAACUUAAUGACAUCUGCCAAGACCCAAUUUCCAAAUAAAGUCACAUCCACAGGUGCUAGGGGUUGGUAUUUGGAGUAUCUUUGGGAGGCACCACUCACACCUGUCCCGUGGUCUUCCUCUGAGGAUGGGUGAGGAGAAGAUCAGUUACUUACUCACUCAUCUGCUCACUCCUCCAACAGCUAUGCCAAAGGUCAUAGGAGGAUCCAGGGAUAUGAUAAUAAAUUGGAGAGGAUCCUUGCCCUGGAGAAUAUCACUAUUUGGAAGGGCUUUGGGAUAUGAAUAACAGAAACACAAGGAAAGGGAUGGUGAGAGCCAUAAGAUUCGGAAGCUGAAGGACUAAUGGAAGCAGCCCAGAGAGGGAAGGGCUUUCAAAGCAGAGGCUGACAUUGUCAGCAAAGGCAGAGGCUAGAGAGCAAAAAUAGGUCAGGAAUCCUUGCAACUGAGUUUGGCAGUAAUGGCGGGUGUGGGCGAGAGAGAGAGACAAAGAUAGAGAAGCAGUCACCCAGAAAACUCAGGCUCCAACUGCCAUAGUUUCUUUUAGGAUAUGUGAGGGUGGGCUGGGGUUUGCAGGACCACUUAUUCAUACCUUCGGGACCCUCCAAAACUGGCCUGGUAGUCUAGAACUCCAGGUAGGGAUCACCCUGAACUGAACCUGCAGCUAGAAGAUGUGGGCUGACCAUGAAUUCCAUAUACCUUCACAGGUGAAGUUGUAUGAGCCCAGAACCAGCUGAGUUCCCCAAUCCAGGCUCAUGCUAAAGCCAGUUCUGAUCAUCUCACUUCCUCAUUUGGCAAGAAAACGCCUCUGUCGCAAACCAAUUGCUGAGCUUCAUGUCUUUCAUGCAAAUUUUGCUAUAAAAUCCUGUCACAACAAACAGAACUGAGCUGCUCCUCGGAGCUCCAUGAACGUAGAUGGCAGGACUGUCUUACUUUUUGAGGUAGCAGUCACGACAGUUGUCAUGGGGUAAUAUUAUUGCUCCAGAGCCCUGUGGCCAGGGUCCUGCUGAGGGCUCCACACAGAGGGGACAGGGUGGCAUGUAGACAGAAGGCUCUCACUGACUGGACCUUGGGACCCUUGAGAUUCUGAGCCCAAGAGGUGUCACCCCACCCCAUUGGACCUUAUCGACGGCCUCUCCCCUGAAGAGCAAAGGCUGAGGGCAAAAAGGAAAACAGAUUAACAGCGCAAAAGCUCCCUGGGUCUUCAGCCAGGAGCGGCAAGUUCCUUACAAAUUUACACACAUGUGGCAGAAGCGU
rnacentral:lncRNA from 1 species